GAUGUGACAAUUUUCUGCCCUAUUUGGCAUGAUUUACAAAGUGUUUUGUAUUCCUGUACAAAAUUGCAAAGGUUUUGCAGUUAUAUUUCUUUCAUAAUAUACAAACAAACUUUGUCCAAUCAUAUGCAUUUCAUUAAAUAUCAUGUGGUGCGACCAUCAAUAAAUGACCACUUUUGGAACUUUUAUUUUGAAAUCUACUGGAGGACAGGAAGUUGCAUCAUCCACCAUUUUGUCAUAGAGCUAUGGAAGCAGAAAGAAGGUUUGUGGCUCUCUCAUUUUUAAAAAAAAAAAAAAACUUUUUUAACGGCUGUAAUGUUGUUGCCACAUUUGGAUAUCAUGUGGUAUGACCUCAAAAAAACAAUUAAUUUAAGUUUUUUCUGCAAAUUUGUAUUUUUAUUAUAAAUUUCAUAGUGUCCUUUUGUGGAAAGCUAGCUAGCUUUGUUUAUGUUGCUAAUCUUGUCAUAGUAAUAUUUGACUGAACUUGAAAAUGUCAUGUGGUGCGACCAAUUAUCAUGUGGUGCGACCACUGCAGAUUGUUUUCCAUCAUAGAUAUAUGACCUAGAUUGGCAGUUUUUGUGCCUUUUAUAUUCAAUUGAUGAUUGAUCAACAUUAAGUACUUAAUUUUUAUUAUUAUUUUGACUAUUUUUUGGAUAUUUGAUGAGUCAUUUUGCUAAUAUUUCAGAAAUAAUGGUUAGUUCAUCUUUGUAAAAUAUAAGAAAAAAUAGUAAAAGCAUGCAAUUUCACUUGGGUAUUUAUGCAGAUAUUAGCAAUUUAUUAAUUAUUAUUUGUCUAUUUAACUCAUAUUGAUUUAUUUUACCAGAUGCCACUGCCAAGCAAAGUUAAAAGCGCUCGCCACAGGCAGCGUGUCAACUCUGACCCCACAGCAAAAGCAGAGUACCUUGCCAGGAGAAGAGAAAGCUACCAGAGAAGGAAACUGCAGGGGAAGAUUCCAUAUGUAAAGGCAAGUGAGCUAGAGAAGAUGAAAAAGAAACAGAGAGAGAAAUGGAGGGCAGUAUCCAGUGCUUACAGAGAAAGAAAAGAUAUGGCAAAUGCUGUGUUAGACCUUACUCCACCAUCCAUGGAGAAUAUUCCACCAGUUCUGGUUGGUGUAGAUGUUGCCCAAGAACAGCCACAAGAGCAGCCAGAGCAGCCGCCUGUGGAAGACCCCAUGCCUCUAAAUGAGGAUUUUAAUCCACCGGUGUCCUCCACACCAGAGAGGAAUAAAAGAAAGAAUACAUCAGCAGAAAAACAUUGCAAAAAAUUGCAGGGAGAGAAGUGUCAACUGAGAAAGCAGGUCUUACAUCUGAAGAAACAGCUAGCAGAGAUGAAAAACUGAGGGAUAAAUCCAGAAAGAGUGAGAAGAGGUUAAUGGGAAAACAAACAGUAGGCCUAAGUGAAAAAUUCAAGCCAAGGGGGCACAAGAAACUGUCAACAAAAAGAAAGCAAGCAGUUAUCAAUUUCCUGUCCAGAGAUGAAAACAACCGUCUGUUAGCAGGGGAAAAAGACACCAUUACCAAAAAUAAACAGAAAAUGCAAAGAAGAGUUCUAACAAAGCCCCUGAUUGAGCUCCAUGCUCAGUAUCAAACAGAGGUGGAACAGGAUCUCUCCAUGUCUUACCGACAAUUUGUAAGAAGACGGCCUUUUUAUAUCACAGAGCCAAAGACCAGUGACAGAGAUACAUGUGCAUGUGUGGAACAUGAGAAUGUCCGGCUACUGAUUAACAAACUUACCAAGAGAGGGCUGUUGAAGACAACCAGCAUCUCAGAAUUAUUGAAUAUGAUUGUUUGUGACCCUAAAAACAAAGCAUGUAUGGAUCGUGUAUGCCCAAAGUGCUGCUUUGAUGAAGUCGAAUUACCUGAGACACCCUCUGCAGAGGUUUCUUGGGAACAAUGGGAGCGAGUAACUUCAACAAAUGGAGAGAAAGUCUUUGCAAAUGUCUUAAAACAAACACAUACAGGGACAAUCAAGGACUUAAAAGAGCUGUUCCACAAAAAGCUAGAAUGUAUAGCCAUACACCAGUUCAACUGGAUCCACCAAACAGAAAAGUUUCGUGGCCUAAAACAGAAUCUCACAGAAGCUGAAGCAGUGCUUCACAUUGGUAAUACACACCGCUAUUCUCUACACAGUCCAUGGGACAAAAUCAUACGCAACGCUAUCAGACAGCCUCCGCCAUGACGAGAGGGCAGUAUGGGCACACCUGGAGCCCAUACUGAAAGAGCUUCACACAACCUACCCAGAGAUUACAGCCCUACAUAUAAUUAGUGACGGACCUGUUACACAGUACAGGAACAAAGCUAACUUUUAUCUCCUCAGUACUGUGCCUUUCCUUUCUGGGUUCAAGCAUGUUACAUGGAACUAUUCGGAAAAGUCCCACGGAAAGGGUGCCCCGGAUGGUAUCGGUGGUGCAGUGAAGAGGGAUGCAGAUCUCUAUGUUCGUCGGGGAGGUGAGCUGCAGGCUCCACUGGAUUUGUAUGAGAUGCUGACCAAAAAAUCAGGGUCGACCAUUACUCAUUACUGGGUAAGCGAAGAGAGCAUCCAGAAAUAUGAUGAGCUGAUUCCAGGGAAAUUGACAGCUGUGAAGGGAACCUUAAAAAUACACCAGGUUUUGUCUUCACAAGCAGCACAAAUCAGUCACAGGGAGGUCUUGUGCUUCUGCAAGCAUGCAGAAAUGAAGACAUGCCUAUGUUACCAGCCAGUGAAAGCAGAUUUGAGGAACACCACCGACGAUCCCGUAAACGCUCCUGAGCCACCAAAGAAACAACCUCUUCAAGACUUGAGUGGAAAGUUUGUCAUAGUCAGCUAUGAUGAACUUCCCUAUGUUGGCCAGGUCCUUCAGGUUGUGGGAGAGGAAGUACAAGUUACCUCCAUGUGACAGUCAGGAGAAAAUAACUUGUUCAUGUGGCCACAAGAGCCAGAUAUUAUAUAUUGCUACAAGAAAGAUGUUCUCUUUGUCAUUGAAGAACCUGAGCCAGCAACCUCACGCUACUCAAAGUUGACCAGCCAAGAUUGGGCAAAGUUCAAAAAGGCCUGGGGUUAGCGGCACACACGCGCACACACACAUACACAUGGUUAGAUUUUUAUCAGAAAAUCGAAAAAAUGUUUAUGAAAUGAAAUGUUUCUGUUCAUGUUGUUCAUGCGAGGAUUGGGCAAAGAUUGAGCCAAGACUGGGCAAAAUUCAAGAAGGCUUGGGGUUAGUGGCACAUAUGCACACACACAAACACUCACACAGACACUAACACACACGGUUAGAUUUUUGUCAAAAAAAUGUUUAUGAAAUUAAAUGUUUGUAUUGAUGUUGUUCAUGCAAAGAUUGGGCAAAGUUUAAAAAGUCCUGGGCCACUAUACAGUUAGAUUUUUGUCAAAAAAUGUUUAUGAAAUGAAAUGUUUGUUUUCAUGUUUGAAAUGUUAAUAAAAUCUGGUUGAAAUUUGCAUGGAAUUAAUUGUUUAUUGGCCUCUUUAAAUUGAUUUUUAAUGACACAAGGUCUUCACGUCAUUUGGCGCGACCACCCAUCAUGUGGUGUGACCAAUAAUAACAAUACCUAUAUCAAAUACAAACUAAAAUAUCUAAUUUCUGUAACUAACACAUUAAUAACUGAUACAAUAUGCUUAAGUGAAAGGUUAUUUUAAAACAUUUUUAUCAUUAUUAUCCAAUUUAAAGAAAAAAUUUGUUGGUGAACUACAUUUAAUGUAGCGACUGUGACAUUAUAUCGCUAAAUUAUGAGAGCAUUAUUUACACAAAUUCAAAUGAAAUGCAAACACUUUGUUUCUAUAUAGUUGAUAUUACUGACAAUUUGUAAAACACUAUUAAGUAUGUUAAGAAAAUGUAUUAAUUUUUAGAUACAUUAUGGUCGCACCACAUGACAUUUUUUAAGGCCAGGGGAAAUUCAUCUAUAUGAAAAAACACUAAAAUUGCUAAAUUUAUAAUUGUAAUGUUCAAUUUUGUAUACACAACAUCCUUAAUGUUUGAACAGUUGCAAAAAAUAUACUUAUUUUUGGUAUUUUAAAAUUGGCAUGUUGAAAAACCUUAUACGUCAUUGACCCUAAUACAUUGUAGUAAGUGUUUCUAACUAGUGGUGAACAUGCAUAAUGGCAAUGAACAUAGAAAGAAUAGACACUAAAAAUGAUAAUAGUACUCUUGUCAUGAUCUAUGGCUGCGGUGUCUGUGUUGUUUUUUUUGUGCUUGUGUGUUCUGUUUACUUGCAGAGUUGCGCUGGAAGGCUGGGCGGAUUUGUUGUCUCAGGAGGGAUCACACUCAUAUGCACCUGCUGCAGGUUGACAAUUAAUGCCUGCUUAAAAGUCUUGAUCAACACACUACCUGCUGCCAACCACAUGCAGUAUAUGGCUCUGUCAAUGCUGUGUUUCUCCAAGUGGCUAAACACCACACAUGUCCUCAGCCUGGCAGCAACACUCCACCUGCCAUGGGCUCCUCCAAGCAUCUAGACACCACACAGCGCUCCAGCAGCCUCAACCUCAAACCAUCAUCAGCUGUGAAUUCAGUUGUGUUGAAAUAAAGAAGGUUUUGAUACUGCUGCA